UCCAUCCAUUUCCUACAACAGCCGCCGCCUCGUGGUACUCGCUCCCGAGCGCCUCCGCGUCGCUCCUACCAUCCAGCGCCCGCGUCGCCAGGUGAAGCUCGAUCCCGAGCUGUGCGUCCCCCUCUAAACUGCUCCUUGGUCACCGGAGCCCACCACCAUGGCAGCCCAAGGAAGCUCCAGUUCAGCCGCCAUCUCUCGUAUUAUUUUUUGACUCGAAUUUGUCUCCACUCAGCUUGAGCCCGAUAACUUAUACGAUGUUAGUCUGGUAGCUUUCUACUGUAUCAGCAUAAUAACACUCACUUUGAUAGCAUGUUUUAACUCAUUUUAUUUUUCAGCAUGGUAA